rnacentral:tRNA from 1 species
GGUCCUGUAGCUCAGUUGGUUAGAGUGUUGGUCUGAUAUACCAAAGGUCAUGGUCAUGGGUUCAAGCCCCAUUGGGACCA